CAGUAGCCGCGGUAAUACGUAGGUGGCAAGCGUUGUCCGGAAUUAUUGGGCGUAAAGGGCUCGCAGGCGGUUUCUUAAGUCUGAUGUGAAAGCCCCCGGCUCAACCGGGGAGGGUCAUGGAAACUGGGAAACUUGAGUGCAGAAGAGGAGAGUGGAAUUCCACGUGUAGCGGUGAAAUGCGUAGAGAUGUGGAGGAACACCAGUGGCGAAGGCGACUCUCUGGUCUGUAACUGACGCUGAGGAGCGAAAGCGUGGGGAGCGAACAGGAUUAGAGACCCGCGUAGUCCCUGUCUCUUAUACA
rnacentral:rRNA from 1 species